UAUAUCUUCCCCGCCUCUCUCGUUUACGUCAACAAAGAAACAUGGAUGUCGCAGCCCCCGCCCCGGAUCCCUCAUCCUACGCCACAGCCAAUUCCCCCACCACCCUAGAAUCCCUUCUCUACCACUCCUUCGCCGCGGUCGAUUCACCCGCCACCGCGGAAGCUCUCUCUUCCACCGCCAAAACCCACUUCAGCACUGCUGAUUCCCUAAUCUCAGCCGCUCCUUCCUCUGCCUCAGUCGACUCCGCUGACUCCUGCCUCUCCUCUGCUGCCUCCGCCACGGCUACGUAUCUAGCAUCGACCUCCCCUCUCUGCAGCAACAGAAGAUACUUACAUAUACAUAGUCAUCUACUUGUUUAGAUAUUGAAUCAAACCAUGAACCAGAAACAAUCUAACAUCCACCAAAAUAUUUCAAAUUUCCUAAAUUUACAAGAUCUA
rnacentral:lncRNA from 1 species